UGCCUCUCUUUUUCUGCUGGGCGUUGGAUGGUCAUUGUGGCAUCCGCCACGGCCCACCUUUCUUCCUCGCGGGGGUGAGGAGCACAUCCUCCUCUGAUGACACUCAUCAUUUGUCAACUACUGUCCCCAACUGUCACUGCCUGACCACGCCUCCCUGGCUUGCCUACAUUCUGGUGCCUGAAAAUGACCCGCACCCCUCAGAUUCGCUCUACGUCACUCGUGGGAAGAUAGAUCACCAACCACAACCCCGUUACCACAACAGAUGGGAGGGAGCCUUCAUCUCAUGCAAUGCAGAGAGCAGCACAAAUUGCUUAUUGUAUGUUCUCAUAUCCAUGUGUUAUGCACUUUUUAUAGAGCGUAAUAUUAUAUCACUAGUUAUUGGUUAUAUACUGCAUGAGAUAAUGCACGUCUCACUGUGUAUUAUAUAAUACCCUUCAACAUGACCCAUUCCAUUAGGUACAAAAUGCUCUGUUCCUGCACUUCCUUGCCAGUGGCGGUUGCAGCACAGUCCAAAAGGCAAGUCUAAAGACGAUCAAAGUGGGCAUCUCAGUCUUGGCACAUGAAGGCGCACGGCUGUACACCAGGGAAGGGCAAAAGAUGCCGACAAGGACGCCACUGCAUCUGCCGCUGAAUCAGCCCCAUAAUAUAAUAACAUGACAUCCUAACAAACAAAGCAUGACAUCAUAACCAACAAAACAUAACAUCAUGACUAACAAAACCUUAUAUCAUAAUAUAACAUCAAAGCCAACAAAACAUCAUACCAUAGCACGACAUCACAACUAACAAAACAGAAUAUCAUUACAUAACAUUAAGACAUAAAAGAUGUGCCCAUUUCCUAUAUAUGAGAAAUUAGGCAUAGGACUACACCUGUCCAUUAUAAAAUACAUUAUAAGCUUAUUAGAAUUGAAAUGUUAUU